rnacentral:rRNA from 1 species
CACGUAGGGGCCAAGCGUUGUCCGGAUUUAUUGGGCGUAAAGAGCUCGUAGGCGGUUGGGUAAGUCGGGUGUGAAAACUCCAGGCUCAACUUGGAGACGCCACCCGAUACUGCUCUGACUGAGUUCGGUAGGGGAGUGGGGAAUUCGGUGUAGCGGUGAAAUGCGCAGAUAUCAGGAGGAACACCGGUGGCGAAGGCGCCACUCUGGGCCGAAACUGACGCUGAGGAGCGAAAGCGUGGGUAGCAAACAGG